GAGUUUGAUCAUGGCUCAGAUUGAACGCUGGCGGCAUGCCUUACACAUGCAAGUCGAACGGUAACGCGGGGCAACCUGGCGACGAGUGGCGAACGGGUGAGUAACGCAUCGGAACGUGCCCAGUAGUGGGGGAUAGCCCGGCGAAAGCCGGAUUAAUACCGCAUACGACCUACGGGUGAAAGCGGGGGACCGUAAGGCCUCGCGCUAUUGGAGCGGCCGAUGUCAGAUUAGGUAGUUGGUGGGGUAAAAGCCUACCAAGCCUACGAUCUGUAGCUGGUCUGAGAGGACGACCAGCCACACUGGGACUGAGACACGGCCCAGACUCCUACGGGAGGCAGCAGUGGGGAAUUUUGGACAAUGGGGGAAACCCUGAUCCAGCCAUGCCGCGUGCGGGAAGAAGGCCUUCGGGUUGUAAACCGCUUUUGUCAGGGAAGAAAUCCCUUGAGCUAAUACCUUGAGGGGAUGACGGUACCUGGAGAAUAAGCACCGGCUAACUACGUGCCAGCAGCCGCGGUAAUACGUAGGGUGCAAGCGUUAAUCGGAAUUACUGGGCGUAAAGCGUGCGCAGGCGGUUGCGCAAGACAGGUGUGAAAU
rnacentral:rRNA from 1 species